GCGAUCGCGUGUGGAAGCGUCGUAGCUCAUCGGAUAAAAGGUACUCCGGGAUAACAGGCUUAUCGCUCCCGAGCGUCCAUAGCGGCGGAGCGGUUUGGCACCUCGAUGUCGGCUCAUCGCAUCCUGGGGCUGAAGGCGGUCCCAAGGGUUAGGCUGUUCGCCUAUUAAAGCGGUACGCGAGCUGGGUUCAGACCGGCGUGAGCCAGGUCGGUCCCUAUCUGUUGUGGGCGUUGCAAACUUGAGAGGAGUCAACUUUAGUACGAGAGGAUUAGGUUGGACUGACCCCUGGUGAUCCUGUUGGGCUGCUAAGCCCAUCGCAGGGUAGCUACGUCGGGCAGGGAUAACAGCUGAAAGCAUCUAAGCAGGAAGCCCCCCUCAAGAUCAGGUUUGCUUGUCUUGUACGUGAGACCCCUGGGAGACUACCAGGUUGAUAGGCCGCAGGUGUAAGGGUUGAGAAGCCCUCAGCUGAGCGGUACUAACGGUCGAAGGUUUG
rnacentral:rRNA from 11 species